GUGAAGUUGAAAUCAUCCCUUCGUUAAUUUUACGGACGCCAUCACGAGUUGGUUGACCGUUAUGGAAUAACCGUUUCACAAAUGAUAUCGGAUAUGUUCCUUACGUCGUAACUACAAUCCCCUUCGCUUUCAUGAAUGUGACCUACCGAAUUAGACUAUUUACCGGAUUUGUAAUCAAAUAAGCAACACGACGGGUGCCACAUGUGGAGCAGGAUCUGCUUACCCUUCCGGAGCACCUGAGAUCACCCCUAGUUUUUAAUGGGGUUCGUGUUGUUUAUUCUUUAGUUUUCUAUGUUGUGUCAUGUGUACUAUUGUUUUUCUGUUUGUCUUUUUCAUUUUUAGCCAUGGCGUUGUCAGUUUGUUUUAGAUUUAUGAGUUUGACUGUCCCUUUGGUAUCUUUCGUCCCUCUUUUU
rnacentral:lncRNA from 1 species